UACGGGGGGGGCAAGCGUUGUUCGGAAUUACUGGGCGUAAAGGGCUCGUAGGCGGCCAAGUAAGUCGGAUGUGAAAUCCCCAGGCUCAACCUGGGAACUGCAUCCGAUACUGGAUGGCUUGAAUUCGGGAGAGGGAUGCAGAAUUCCAGGUGUAGCGGUGAAAUGCGUAGAUAUCAAGAGGAACACCUGAGGUGAAGACGGGUUGCUGGGCUGACACUGACGCUGAGGCGCGAAAGCCAGGGGAGCAAACGGG
rnacentral:rRNA from 1 species